rnacentral:rRNA from 1 species
UGGGGAAUAUUGCACAAUGGGCGCAAGCCUGAUGCAGCGACGCCGCGUGAGGGAUGACGGCCUUCGGGUUGUAAACCUCUUUCAGUACCGACGAAGCGUAAGUGACGGUAGGUACAGAAGAAGCACCGGCCAACUACGUGCCAGCAGCCGCGGUAAUACGUAGGGUGCGAGCGUUGUCCGGAAUUACUGGGCGUAAAGAGCUCGUAGGUGGUUUGUCGCGUUGUCCGUGAAAACUCACAGCUUAACUGUGGGCGUGCGGGCGAUACGGGCAGACUGGAGUACUGCAGGGGAGACUGGAAUUCCUGGUGUAGCGGUGGAAUGCGCAGAUAUCAGGAGGAACACCGGUGGCGAAGGCGGGUCUCUGGGCAGUAACUGACGCUGAGGAGCGAAAGCGUGGGGAGCGAACAGG